AAGCGAACAUCGUCCGGAACUCGGGAUCUCCCUCCUGGAGCUCGGCCUGCUGCGCUCCUCGUAGUGCGGCUAACGCUGGCGGAUCAGCGCCACGCUGCAGCACUCAGUCCCGUUUACACACAACAGUCAACAUAUGAGGCUAGUGUGCUUCUCCAUUGACUGAUGAGCCUUCACCCCGAGGUGAUGAUGACCUGGAGACUGCUCUUUCUGUGUUAUCUGAGCUGGAA